CCUACGGGAGGCUGCAGUGGGGAAUCUUCCGCAAUGGGCGAAAGCCUGACGGAGCAACGCCGCGUGAGUGAAGAAGGUCUUCGGAUUGUAAAGCUCUGUUGUACAUGACGAAUGUGCCGGUUGUGAAUAAUGACUGGUAAUGACGGUAGUGUACGAGGAAGCCACGGCUAACUACGUGCCAGCAGCCGCGGUAAUACGUAGGGGGCGAGCGUUGUCCGGAAUUACUGGGCGUAAAGGGAGCGUAGGCGGUCGAUUAAGUUAGAUGUGAAACCCCCGGGCUUAACUUGGGGACUGCAUCUAAUACUGGUUGACUUAGAGUACAGGAGAGGGAAGCGGAAUUCCUAGUGUAGCGGUGAAAUGCGUAGAUAUUAGGAGGAACACCAGUGGCGAAGGCGGCUUUCUGGACUGACACUGACGCUGAGGCUCGAAAGCGUGGGGAGCAAACAGGAUUAGAUACCCGUGUAGUC
rnacentral:rRNA from 1 species